UACGUAGGGCGCAAGCGUUGUCCGGAAUUAUUGGGCGUAAAGAGCUCGUAGGCGGUCUGUUGCGUCCGCUGUGAAAACCCAGGGCUUAACCCUGGGCUUGCAGUGGAUACGGGCAGACUAGAGGCAGGUAGGGGAGAAUGGAAUUCCCGGUGUAGCGGUGAAAUGCGCAGAUAUCAGGAGGAACACCGGUGGCGAAGGCGGGUCUCUGGGCAAUAACUGACGCUGAGGAGCGAAAGCGUGGGGGAGCGAACAGG
rnacentral:rRNA from 1 species